ACGAACGCUGGCGGCGUGCCUAAUACAUGCAAGUCGAACGCACUCUCGUUUAGAUUGAAGGAGUUUGCUCCUGAUUGAUAAACAUUUGAGUGAGUGGCGGACGGGUGAGUAACACGUGGGUAACCUGCCCUAAAGCGGGGGAUAACAUUUGGAAACAGAUGCUAAUACCGCAUAAAACCUAACACCGCAUGGUGUAGGGUUGAAAGAUGGUUUCGGCUAUCACUUUAGGAUGGACCCGCGGUGCAUUAGUUAGUUGGUGAGGUAAAGGCUCACCAAGACCGUGAUGCAUAGCCGACCUGAGAGGGUAAUCGGCCACACUGGGACUGAGACACGGCCCAGACUCCUACGGGAGGCAGCAGUAGGGAAUCUUCCACAAUGGACGAAAGUCUGAUGGAGCAACGCCGCGUGAGUGAAGAAGGUUUUCGGAUCGUAAAACUCUGUUGUUGGAGAAGAAUGUAUCUGAUAGUAACUGAUCAGGUAGUGACGGUAUCCAACCAGAAAGCCACGGCUAACUACGUG
rnacentral:rRNA from 1 species